rnacentral:rRNA from 1 species
UACGAAGGGGGCUAGCGUUGUUCGGAAUCACUGGGCGUAAAGGGCGCGCAGGCGGCUAUCCAAGUCAGGCGUGAAAGCCCCGGGCUUAACCUGGGAGGUGCGUCUGGGACUGGGUGGCUAGAGUUCGGGAGAGGAGAGUGGAAUUCCCAGUGUAGAGGUGAAAUUCGUAGAUAUUGGGAAGAACACCGGUGGCGAAGGCGGCUCUCUGGACCGAGACUGACGCUGAGGCGCGAAAGCGUGGGGAGCAAACAGG